GUUGUUCGGAGUUACUGGGCGUAAAGCGUGCGUAGGCGGUGUCUUAAGUUUGUUGUGAAAUCUCCCGGCUUAACCGGGAGGGUGCGGCGAAUACUGAGAUGCUGGAGUGCCGGAGAGGUAAGCGGAAUUCCUGGUGUAGCGGUGAAAUGCGUAGAUAUCAGGAGGAACACCUGCGGUGUAGACGGCUUACUGGACGGUAACUGACGCUGAGGCACGAAAGCGUGGGUAGCAAACAGG
rnacentral:rRNA from 1 species